UACGGAGGGUGCAAGCGUUAUCCGGAUUCACUGGGUUUAAAGGGUGCGUAGGUGGGAAUGUAAGUCAGUGGUGAAAUCUCCGUGCUUAACAUGGAAACUGCCAUUGAUACUAUGUUUCUUGAAUUUUCUGGAGGUCAGCGGAAUAUGUCAUGUAGCGGUGAAAUGCUUAGAUAUGACAUAGAAUCCACUAUCGAAGGCAGCUCGCUACACUAUUAUUGACGCUGAGGCACGAAAGCGUGGGGAUCAAACAGG
rnacentral:rRNA from 1 species